GCCCCCAUCGUCUAGUGGCCCAGGACGCGGCCCUCUCAAGGCCAAAACCAGGAUUCGAAUUCCUGUGGGGGCA
rnacentral:tRNA from 2 species